rnacentral:rRNA from 1 species
CCCCUAGAUGUUCUGGGCCGCACGCGCGCUACACUGAUACAUGCAACGAGUUUAUAACCUUGAUCUGACGGUCUGGGUAAUCUUCAAACUGUAUCGUGUUAGGGAUCGAUUCUUGCAAUUUUUAAUCGUAAACGAGGAAUUCCUAGUAAACGCAAGUCAUCAGCUUGCAUUGAUUACGUCCCUGCCCUUUGUACACACCGCCCGUCGACUCUACCGAUUGAAUGGUUCGGUGAAAACUUUGGACUGUGGCAUUGUCCUUCAUUGGACUUCGCCGUAGGAAAUUGUUUAAACCUCAUCAUUUAGAGGAAGAAUAAGUCGUAACA